rnacentral:rRNA from 1 species
UACGUAGGUGGCAAGCGUUGUCCGGAUUUACUGGGCGUAAAGAGCGCGCAGGCGGUCAGAUAAGUCGAAUGUGAAAGCCCCCGGCUCAACUGGGGAGGGUCAUUCGAUACUGUUCGACUCGAAGGCAGGAGAGGGAAGUGGAAUUCCCGGUGUAGUGGUGAAAUGCGUAGAUAUCGGGAGGAACACCAGUGGCGAAGGCGACUUCCUGGCCUGUUCUUGUCGCUGAGGCGCGAAAGCUAGGGGAGCAAACGGG